AGGGAUUUAGCUCAGCGGCAUAAGCGCCUGCCUUGCAAGCAGGCAGUUGUGAGUUCGAUCCCUA
rnacentral:tRNA from 1 species